rnacentral:sRNA from 1 species
GGGGGACUCAAUUGAAAAACUUUUUUGUUUGGGAAUCUAGUUGAGAAUCAUGUGAUACUUAGAGAACAAAUUUAUCUUUUCUAUUCAUAUCCCU